rnacentral:piRNA from 1 species
UGAAAAACACUGUUCUGAGGCUU